rnacentral:rRNA from 1 species
CACGUAUGGGGCAAGCGUUGUUCGGAAUCACUGGGCGUAAAGGGCGUGUAGGCGGUCCGGGAAGCCUGGCGUGAAAGGUGUCGGCCCAACCGACAGACGGCGCUGGGAACUGCCGGACUGGAGUCACGGAGGGGGAGCUGGAAUUCCAGGUGUAGGGGUGAAAUCUGUAGAGAUCUGGAAGAACACCGGUGGCGAAGGCGAGCUUCUGGCCGAUGACUGACGCUGAGGCGCGAAAGCGUGGGGAGCAAACAGG